rnacentral:rRNA from 1 species
AUUGAACGCUGGCGGCAGGCCUAACACAUGCAAGUCGAGCGGACUAUUCCUUCGGGAAUGGUUAGCGGCGGACGGGUGAGUAACACGUAGGCAACCUACCUGUGAGACUGGGAUAACUACCGGAAACGGUAGCUAAGACCGGAUAAUUGGUUUCUUCACCUGAAGAGAUCAGGAAACACGGAGCAAUCUGUGGCUUACAGAUGGGCCUGCGGCGCAUUAGCUAGUUGGUAGGGUAACGGCCUACCAAGGCGACGAUGCGUAGCCGACCUGAGAGGGUGAUCGGCCACACUGGGACUGAGACACGGCCCAGACUCCUACGGGAGGCAGCAGUGGGGAAUUUUGGACAAUGGGGGCAACCCUGAUCCAGCCAUUCCGCGUGAGUGAAGAAGGCCUUCGGGUUGUAAAGCUCUUUUGUCCGGGAAGAAACGGUUUCACCUAAUACGUGAGACUACUGACGGUACCGGAAGAAUAAGGACCGGCUAACUACGUGCCAGCCGCCGCGGUAAAAC